rnacentral:rRNA from 1 species
CAGUUCAGAUUGCAGGCUGCAACUCGCCUGCAUGAAGUCGGAAUUGCUAGUAAUCGCAGAUCAGCAUGCUGCGGUGAAUACGUUCCCGGGCCUUGUACACACCGCCCGUCAAGCCAUGGGAGCCGGGGGCGCCUGAAGUCCGGGACCGCGAGGACCGGCCUAGGGCGAAACUGGUAACUGGGGCUAAGUCGUAACAAGGUAGC